UUUGCAGAUUUAUCCUCAUGGAUCAACCGAUACUCUUCCAUUUGCCACGAUGAGUUCUGGUUCACUUGCUGCUAUGGCGAUAUUUGAAUGAAAUGUCGUGAAGGAGGAUGGUGUCAAGUUGGUAAUUGAGGCUAUUUGCUCUAGUAUAUUCAAUGACUUGGGCAGUGGAAGCAAUGUUGAUGUUUGUGUGAUCACAAAGGGACAAACAGAGUAUUUAAGAAACCAUCUAGCGCCUAAUCCUCGUACUUAUGUUAGCAAAAAAAGGCUAUACUUUCUCCAAGAAGACUGGUUAGUAAACCUCAUUUAUUCUGAUUUAUUAUUCUACAUGCCUACAUCAUGUGUUCUAGGAGAAAAUGUUUCUUCAUGUUUGCAGUGCAUGUCUUAGUCAUACUCCUUUUUCUUUCUUUGAAAAUAAAUGAUUUCAUUACUUGUGAUAAAAUACGAAAGUAGAACCAAACCUGACAUUAACUAUGACUAUUUUCUUG